UACGUAGGGUGCAAGCGUUGUCCGGAAUUAUUGGGCGUAAAGAGCUCGUAGGCGGUCUGUCGCGUCGGCUGUGAAAACUCGGGGCUCAACCCCGAGCCUGCAGUCGAUACGGGCAGACUAGAGUGCUGUAGGGGAGACUGGAAUUCCUGGUGUAGCGGUGAAAUGCGCAGAUAUCAGGAGGAACACCGGUGGCGAAGGCGGGUCUCUGGGCCACUACUGACGCUGAGAAGCGAAAGCAUGGGGAGCGAACAGG
rnacentral:rRNA from 1 species